rnacentral:rRNA from 1 species
GACGAACGCUGGCGGCGUGCCUAACACAUGCAAGUCGAACGGAAAGGCCCUGCUCUUGUGGCGUGCUCGAGUGGCGAACGGGUGUGUAAAACGUGAGUAACAUCUCCCUGACUUUCUGAUAACUUUAGGAGAAUCCGGAUCUAACAGGGUAGGAGCUCCUGCUGCACGGUGGUGGUUGGUAAGAGUCGGCGGUUGGGGAUGGUCUCGCGGGUUAUCAGCUUCUUGGUGGGGUAGUGGCUUACCAAGCCUAUGACGGGUAGCCGGCCUGAGAGGGUGACCGGCCACAUGGGGACUACGAGACGGACCAGUCUGCUACGGGAGGCAGCAGUGGGAAAUAUUGCACAAUGGGCGGAAGCCUGAUGCAGCAACGCCGCGUGCGUGAUGACGGGUUUCGGGUUGUGAACCGCUUUCUCCGGUGACGAAGCGUGAGUGACGGUAAUGGGUAAAGAAGCACCGGCUAACUACGUG